rnacentral:rRNA from 1 species
AGAGUUUGAUCCUGGCUCAGGACGAACGCUGGCGGCGUGCCUAACACAUGCAAGUCGUUCCGCCGUAAGGCGGAGGCGAACGGGUGAGUAAUGGCRAGGAACGUGCCUUAUCCCGGGAAAUACCCCCGCGAAAGCGGGGCUAAUGUCCCAUAGUGUCCCGACGUCAUGUCGGGACUAAAGCUCCGGCGGGAUAAGAUCGGCCUUGCUCCUAUCAGCUUGUUGGUGGGGUAAUGGCCUACCAAGGCGAUGACGGGUAGCUGGUCUGAGAGGAUGGUCAGCCACAAUGGGACUGAGACACGGCCCAUACACCUACGGGUGGCAGCAGUUGGGAAUAUUGCGCAAUGGGCGACAGCCUGACGCAGCGACGCCGCGUGGUCGAAGAAGCCCUUCGGGGUGUAAAGACCUUUUUUAGGGGACGAUUGUGACGGUACCCUAAGAAUAAGAGCCUGCUAACUACGUGCCAGCAGCAGCGGUAAUACGUAGGGCUCGAGCGUUGUCCGGAUUUAUUGGGCGUAAAGAGCAUGUAGGUGGUUUUUUAAGUCGAAUUUUAAAUUCCUUGGCUCAACUAAGGUUUUGGAUUCGAUACUGGAUUACUUUGAGAAUAACAGGGGCAAGCGGAACUCCCGGUGUAGCAGUGAAAUGCGUUGAUAUCGGGAAGAACACCAAUGGCGAAGGCAGCUUGCUAGGUUAUUUCUGACACUGAGAUGCGAAAGCGUGGGGAGCGAACGGGAUUAGAUACCCUGGUAGUCC